CCUACGGGAGGCAGCAGUAGGGAAUCUUCCACAAUGGGCGAAAGCCUGAUGGAGCAACGCCGCGUGGGUGAAGAAGGUCUUCGGAUCGUAAAACCCUGUUGUUAGAGAAGAAAGUGCGUGAGAGUAACUGUUCACGUUUCGACGGUAUCUAACCAGAAAGCCACGGCUAACUACGUGCCAGCAGCCGCGGUAAUACGUAGGUGGCAAGCGUUAUCCGGAUUUUUUGGGCGUAAAGGGAACGCAGGCGGUCUUUUCAGUCUGAUGUGAAAGCCUUCGGCUUAACCGGAGUAGUGCAUUGGAAACUGGGAGACUUGAGGGCAGAAGAGGAGAGUGGAACUCCAUGUGUAGCGGGGAAAUGCGUAGAUAUAUGGAAGAACACCAGUGGCGAAAGCGGCUCUCUGGUCUGUAACUGACGCUGAGGUUCGAAAGCGUGGGUAGCAAACAGGAUUAGAUACCCCUGUAGUC
rnacentral:rRNA from 1 species